rnacentral:rRNA from 1 species
AUUGAACGCUGGCGGCAGGCCUAACACAUGCAAGUCGAGCGAGCGGCGGACGGGUGAGUAAUGUCUGGGAAACGGCCUGUUGGAGGGGGCUAACACCUGGAAACGGUAGCUAAAACCGCGUACGAUCAGAUGUGCCCAGAUGGGAUUAGCUAGUAGGUGGGGUAACGGCGCACCUAGGCGACGAUCCCUAGCUGGUCUGAGAGGAUGACCAGCCACACUGGAACUGAGAAACGGUCCAGACUCCUACGGGAGGCAGCAGUGGGGAAUAUUGCACAAUGGGCGCAAGCCUGAUGCAGCCAUGCCGCGUGUGUGAAGAAGGCCUUCGGGUUGUAAAGCACUUUCAGCGGGGAGGCGUUACCCGCAGAAGAAGCACCGGCUAACUCCGUGCCAGCAGCCGCGGUAAUUC